GACGAACGCUGGCGGCGUGCUUAACACAUGCAAGUCGAGCGGUAAGGCCCUUUCGGGGGUACACGAGCGGCGAACGGGUGAGUAACACGUGGGUGACCUGCCCUUAGCUCUGGGAUAAGCCUGGGAAACUGGGUCUAAUACCGGAUAUGACUCCAUGACGCAUGCUGUGGGGUGGAAAGCCUUGUGCGGCUAGGGGAUGGGCCCGCGGCCUAUCAGCUUGUUGGUGGGGUGAUGGCCACCAAGGCGACGACGGGUAGCCGGCCUGAGAGGGCGACCGGCCACACUGGGACUGAGACACGGCCCAGACUCCUACGGGAGGCAGCAGUGGGGAAUCUUGCGCAAUGGGCGGAAGCCUGACGCAGCGACGCCGCGUGAGGGAUGACGGCCU
rnacentral:rRNA from 1 species